AGUUGCCCAGCAAUCCAGAUAACUGUAUCAGGGUCCUUUUUUUUGCUUAAUGGAAAAUUUUAACUUCGUUAAGAAACAAAGUAAUAAUUACAUCCCAAGCAAUGAAGGACUUGAUAGCCUGAGACAUCUAUACCUCACAUAUGUGCAAAGUUUUUCCUAUUUCUGUUAGCACAUGGACAACUCUAUUAGCUCCUCUAUUCACACGAAAAACCUAAAAGCCAGAGAACAGAUCAGCUAUAUAAAUUGCAUCACCAAUAACAUUUUAAAAAUAGGGCAUGUCUUCCUUGGGUCUAUGGAAAUAAUUUGCAGUUUUGAGACCACUCACCAAUCCAAUUCUCAGUUUCCACCAAAAGAAUUCCCAAACAAGUUGCCCGGCCUCAGCAACCUUUGAUGAAUAUUAAGAUACCAUGUAAGUUGGUUCUACAAAUUGCCCCUUGUCAUUCAUAGAGACAGAACAUUUUCAUUUAGAACAGUAUUAAUUCAGCAACCUAGUUGAAUCACAUGUAUCCGUCCUUCAAAAUUGCAUGUUUGUAAAUGGACAACUAAAGCCAUAGAUAGUCUGAUAAAUCAACUUUGCUCGAAUUGCGUAAAACUAAAUGCGACAUUUUGCAGGUCCCAUGACACCUACCUAAU
rnacentral:misc_RNA from 1 species